rnacentral:rRNA from 1 species
UAGAGUUUGAUCAUGGCUCAGAUUGAACGCUGGCGGCAGGCCUAACACAUGCAAGUCGAGCGGUAACAGGAAUUAGCUUGCUAAUUCGCUGACGAGCGGCGGACGGGUGAGUAAUGCCUGGGAAUAUGCCUUAGUGUGGGGGAUAACUAUUGGAAACGAUAGCUAAUACCGCAUAAUGUCUUCGGACCAAAGAGGGGGAUCUUCGGACCUCUCGCGCUAAGAUUAGCCCAGGUGAGAUUAGCUUGUUGGUGAGGUAAGAGAUCACCAAGGCGACGAUCUCUAGCUGGUCUGAGAGGAUGAUCAGCCACACUGGAACUGAGACACGGUCCAGACUCCUACGGGAGGCAGCAGUGGGGAAUAUUGCACAAUGGGCGAAAGCCUGAUGCAGCCAUGCCGCGUGUAUGAAGAAGGCCUUCGGGUUGUAAAGUACUUUCAGUCGUGAGGAAGGGUGUGUAGUUAAUAGCUGCACAUCUUAACGUUAGCGACAGAAGAAGCACCGGCUAACUCCGUGCCAGCAGCCGCGGUAAUACGGAGGGUGCGAGCGUUAAUCGGAAUUACUGGGCGUAAAGCGCAUGCAGGUGGUUCAUUAAGUCAGAUGUGAAAUCCCGGGGCUCAACCUCGGAACCGCAUUUGAAACUGGUGAACUAGAGUGCUGUAGAGGGGGGUAGAAUUUCA